rnacentral:lncRNA from 1 species
AUGUCAGAAUUACAACCUGAGGUUACAGCACUGUGACACUUUCAAGCUCUUCAAGGUUUGUCAAGCACAGUUAAUUAUAUUUACUAGAAGUCUCUCACCUCUCAUACUCAUGCACCUUAAUCAUACACACAGUGGAAAUCUAUAAAGACCUUAGAAUAAAAGGAGCGCGUUUAAACACUGCCUUUAGAACACAAAGAUGUAUCUGUGAUUUUGAAAAUAAGGCAUGCAGUGGACCUGAGGACGGAAUGUAAUGAUGCUCAUCGGUACAUAAUGAAGCACAUUUGAAGAGCUGACAUCCUGAGUUGUUAUGGAGGAGGUGUCCAAUAAGGUAAGUUCCAGAGAAGAAAACAAAACACAUGGCUUAUUCUUAAUUAUUUAUAAUAUAUAAAGCAUUCGUAUAUCUACA